rnacentral:rRNA from 1 species
CCUACGGGAGGCAGCAGUGGGGAAUAUUGGACAAUGGGCGAAAGCCUGAUCCAGCAAUGCCGCGUGAGUGAUGAAGGCCUUAGGGUUGUAAAGCUCUUUUACCAGGGAUGAUAAUGACAGUACCUGGAGAAUAAGCUCCGGCUAACUCCGUGUCAGCAGCCGCGGUAAUACGGAGGGAGCUAGCGUUGUUCGGAAUUACUGGGCGUAAAGCGUACGUAGGCGGUUAUUCAAGUCAGAGGUGAAAGCCUGGAGCUCAACUCCAGAACUGCCUUUGAAACUAGAUAGCUAGAAUCUUGGAGAGGUGAGUGGAAUUCCGAGUGUAGAGGUGAAAUUCGUAGAUAUUCGGAAGAACACCAGUGGCGAAGGCGACUCACUGGACAAGUAUUGACGCUGAGGUACGAAAGCGUGGGGAGCAAACAGGAUUAGAUACCCUGGUAGUCCACGCCGUAAACGAUGAUAACUAGCUGUUCGGGCUCUACGAGCUUGAGUGGCGCAGCUAACGCAUUAAGUUAUCCGCCUGGGGAGUACGGUCGCAAGAUUAAAACUCAAAAUGAAUUGACGG